rnacentral:rRNA from 1 species
AAUAGAUACCCUGGUAGUCCACGCCGUAAACGAUGGAUACUAGCUGUUUGGUAGUAAUACUGAGUGGCUAAGCGAAAGUGAUAAGUAUCCCACCUGGGGAGUACGGGCGCAAGCCUGAAACUCAAAGGAAUUGACGGGGGCCCGCACAAGCGGUGGAGCAUGUGGUUUAAUUCGAUGAUACGCGAGGAACCUUACCAGGGCUUAAAUGUAGUUUGACGUUAUUGGAAACAGUAAUUUCUUCGGACAAAUUACAAGGUGCUGCAUGGUUGUCGUCAGCUCGUGCCGUGAGGUGUCAGGUUAAGUCCUAUAACGAGCGCAACCCCUGUUGUUAGUUGCCAGCGAGUAAUGUCGGGAACUCUAGCAAGACUGCCAGUGUAAACUGCGAGGAAGGUGGGGAUGACGUCAAAUCAUCGCGGCCCUUACGUCCUGGGCCACACACGUGCUACAAUGGCCGGUACAGAGAGCAGCCACUAUGCGAAUAGGAGCGAAUCUAUAAAGCCGGUCACAGUUCGGAUCGGAGU